rnacentral:rRNA from 1 species
AUGGCUAAUACAUGCGCAUAUGCCUCCUUCUCUGGAGGGGCUGUGUUUAUUAGAUACAAAACCAACCCACUAUGUGGAGUCCUGGUGAUUCAUAGUAACCGAACGGAUCGCAUUUGGCUUCGGCCCGCGAUAUUUCUUUCAAGUUUCUGACCUAUCAGCUUUCGACGGUAGGGUAUUGGCCUACCGUGGCAGUGACGGGUAACGGGGAAUUAGGGUUCGAUUCCGGAGAGGGAGCCUGAGAAACGGCUACCACAUCUAAGGAAGGCAGCAGGCGCGCAAAUUACCCAAUGAAAACAGUUUCGAGGUAGUGACGAGAAAUAACAAUACAGGGCAUUUUAUGCUCUGUAAUUGGAAUGAUGGGAAUGUAAAACCCUUCCAGAGUAACAAUUGGAGGGCAAGUCUGGUGCCAGCAGCCGCGGUAAUUCCAGCUCCAAUAGUGUAUAUUAGAGUUGUUGCAGUUAAAAAGCUCGUAGUUGGAUUUCUGCUGUGGUCAUCCGGUACCGCCCGUAUGGGUGCGCACCUGGUUUGGCUCCGGCUUUCUUCCUGUAGCCGUCCGCGCUUAAUUGCGUGUACUGUGUUACGGAACUUUUACUUUGAGAAAAAUAGAGUGUUUCAAGCAGGCUUGUCGCCCUGAAUACUUCAGCAUGGAAUAAUAGGAUAGGA